UUCCAUCGCCUACCUUGUCGUUUCAACUCGAUCCAUGGCGAUUUAGCGAUUUGUCUCCUCUCUGAUUGAUUCACUAGGGUGGUGGUUAGGAGUCCGGCGCUCUCCGCCUGUCUGCCCGCGCCCUCCUGCUCCUUCUGCCCCCCCUACCGUAGGUCUGCCACAUCUAUUUGCCCCCGUUCCCACCCCGGCCCAUUUUUGUCGCUAGGCGUUUCUGUUCAUCAUAUUAGGUAUGUAAUCGUCGUUUUAGUUUGAUCCUCGAUUCUGAUUUGGUAGUGUGUAGGGUUUGUUUGUCAGAUCUGUUGCUUAUCCCCUUUUGGGAUCUUCCAUGUGGUAGUCCCCGCAGCGAUUUAUAUGGUGUAGUUAAUGGCAUCAAAUCUCAUAUGUCUUGUGAGCUAGUUGUAGGAUUUGUCUUGUGGGAAUUGAUUUCUCUGUUUGGGUUAGUUGUUUGAAAUCGUCUGGUUGUUACGCGCCGGAAGCUGCUCUGUCACGUAAAUACCAUUCAUGUAUGCUGGCAGAAAUUAGUGUUGCUAAUCCUCUAGAAAAGGGGUGCGGAGGCUUAAUUUGGCCUUUGAAUUCCUCUGUUAUCUCCGCUCAUGAUGCUUCUGCUAUUCUUGUCUGACGAUGAUAAUGAAUUUCAUUUUGGUUUGCUUUGUUCUCUGAUCUGUGCCACUAAUAAAUAGUUUAGUGUUGCUCCAGCUGGUGGUUAAUUAGCUAGCCUGCAGUGUUCCAAUAGAGAGAUGGAUGGGAGAUGAGUAGUAUAUAAUACUACAUAGGUCUGGUCUUCAGUUAGGUCCACAUGUGUCUGUCUGUCUGUUUCCUGUUCUUUGUUUAGUAUCCGGUCUUCCAGUUAGGUCUUCAAUCCCCACACCAUCCCGCUCCCAAACCAACACUCCAGUUGCAGCCAUUUCCCCUGUACUAAUUUCCACUGAAAUUAGUAAUAAGGAUACAUUUGACUGCGUUGCGAUUGUCGCUAGAAUCCGUUACCCUGAAUCCGUCGAACCAGAUGGUCUUUUGUGUACGAGUAGAUUUGAACUGCCAUGGAUCCUCUGUAUUAUUUAUAAUGCAACAAUAACAGUAAUCCUCAUGCAAAGCUAUAGUAAUUUUGAACCACAGUCUUCGAGUUCUUUGUUGCUCGAUCCAAAACUACUGUUGUUUGUGUACAAUGCAUCUUCUGUAUUACUUACAAUGCAACAGGACUUCUAAUUCCACUGGAAAGCUAUAGUAAAUGAGCCAAAACCUCCAAGUUGUUUGCUUCUCCCAGUUUUGGUACUAAACUGCUGCAAUUUCUUUUGUGCAAUGUGUUCUGUAUUGUUUACAGUGUAACAAGAAAUGUAAUUUUCCUGCAAAGUUUUAGUAAUUUUGAACCCUGGCAUCCAUGUUUGUUUCCAAUGCUUUUUUGCAUAUUUUACGGUAAUUCUCCUACAAAGCUACAUUAAUUUUGAACCAUAUCUUUCUUGAUUCCUAUCAUUCCUUCAAGGUCAAAAUAAAUGGAAUUCUAUCAUGUGAAUCCAAAGUAGUACUAUCCAAGUAAUUUACAGUCUAACUAUAAAUGGAUUACUGUGUAGUCUACUUUAUACUUUUUGUUUCAAUUUACUGUUCUAUGAUAUUUACUGGUUUAGUUUUUAAUCUAUCCGUAGUGUAUCUGUAAUAUAAUUCUUCAAUGGCUUCUUAGUAGAUUCUUAGUGGAUUUACACUCUAUUUUUAGUAGAUUUUUACACUGUAAUUCUGGGUGGAUUUAUGCUGUAAUUUUUAGUGAAUUUACACUGUAUUUUUAGUAGGUUUUUACACUAUAAUUCUUGGUGGAUUUACAAUGUAUUUUUUGUAAGUUUUUACACUGUAAUUCUUGGUGGAUUUACACUGUAAUUUUCAGUAGAUUUUACAGUGUAAUCCUUAUUUUGGGUUUGCACUGUAACUCUUGGUUUUUACAGUGUAAUUCUUAUUGGAGUUACACUGUAAUCCUUAGUGAUGUUAGUGACUUUACAUUGUAUUCUUUUAUUGGAUUACAGUGUAAUUCUUAGUAAAGUUUCAAUGUAAUCCUUUAGCAAGUGUCCCUUUCCAUGGGUGUGGUAUGUCUGUAACUACCAUUUGUCCUGUAUUCAGAUGCAUAAUAUUAAAUCCUCUUUGUUCCCGUGGUAUUAUGAUAGCAUCUAUCUGUGUUUUGCGAUAUUGAGAUUCAGUUGUCUUCAUAUAGUUUCUUUACCAUUUCUUUAGGCAGCAUCAACCCGGGUUCCUUUUGUGUUUUCACCCUGUGGUGGGCUUUUGUCAAGAUCUUGGCUUAAUGUGUAAUUUUCACGGACCCUUUUUCAGAUGAACUUGUUUCAAUUUGUGCUGCUGUAACAUGGUUUGUACAUUGUCUUGCUUUUGGUUAAGCUAUUCUUGAAGCAAAUAGAUCGACAAUCUUGUACUGCCCUUGAAUUGUACUUUUCUCUGGCGAAACCAAAGUGCUGUUUUGGUUUUGCUGACAUCUUCUUAGUGGAUUUACACUGUUUUUAGUGACUUUUUACGCUGUAAUUCUUGGUGGAUUUACACUUUGUUUUUAGUUUAUUUUUACAGUGUAAUUGUUAUUUGGUUAUGCACUAUAACUCUUUGAUUUUUACAGUGUAAUUCUUAUUGGAAUUACACGGUAAUCCUUACUGAUCUUAGUUGACUUACACUGCAAUCUUUAUUGGAUUACAGUGUUGGAUUAAAGUGUUGUAAUUCUUAGUGGAGUUAGACUGUAAUCCUUAGUGAUCUUAGUGGAUUUACAUUGUAAUCGUUAUUGAUGUUUAGUGGAUUUACACUGUAAUUUUUUAUUGGAUUACCGUGUAAUUCUUAGUGGAGUUAGACUGUAAUCCUUAGUGAUCUUUAGUGGAUUUGCACAGUAAUUCUUAGUGGGUUUUACACGGUAAUCUUAUUCAAUUUGCACUGUAAUCAGUGUAGCGCAUCUGAGUUUACUUCUCAGUAGCAUGUAAUUUAUUAUUUUUGGUCAUUUUUAAAUUUUUUAGGUACUAUUGUUUUCAUGCUUGAUGCUAAUAUUACUUUUUGGUAUUUUUUUGCAGGUUGUUAAUGGAUAAUUGCCUGAUAAUGUUUUGUUAGUUCUUGUGUUCUUUUUAGUUUAUUUGUGUAAUUUAUUUGUUAGGAUCUUCAGUGUAUUCAUUGUAAUAUUUUUCAGUUUUUUAGUGGAUUUUACACUAUAAUUCUUG
rnacentral:lncRNA from 1 species